rnacentral:rRNA from 1 species
AUUGAACGCUGGCGGCAUGCUUUACACAUGCAAGUCGGACGGCAGCACAGAGAAGCUUGCUUCUUGGGUGGCGAGUGGCGAACGGGUGAGUAAUAUAUCGGAACGUACCGAGUAAUGGGGGAUAACUAAUCGAAAGAUUAGCUAAUACCGCAUAUUCUCUGAGGAGGAAAGCUGGGGACCUCCGGGCCUUGCGUUAUUCGAGCGGCCGAUAUCUGAUUAGCUAGUUGGUGGGGUAAAGGCCUACCAAGGCGACGAUCAGUAGCGGGUCUGAGAGGAUGAUCCGCCACACUGGGACUGAGACACGGCCCAGACUCCUACGGGAGGCAGCAGUGGGGAAUUUUGGACAAUGGGCGCAAGCCUGAUCCAGCCAUGCCGCGUGUCUGAAGAAGGCCUUCGGGUUGUAAAGGACUUUUGUCAGGGAAGAAAAGGCUGUUGCUAAUAUCAAUAGCUGAUGACGGUACCUGAAGAAUAAGCACCGGCUAACUACGUG